rnacentral:rRNA from 1 species
GCCAGACUCCUACGGGAGGCAGCAGUGGGGAAUAUUGCACAAUGGGGGAAACCCUGAUGCAGCGACGCCGCGUGGGUGAAGAAGUAUUUCGGUAUGUAAAGCCCUAUCAGCAGGGAAGAAGAAUGACGGUACCUGACUAAGAAGCACCGGCUAAAUACGUGCCAGCAGCCGCGGUAAUACGUAUGGUGCAAGCGUUAUCCGGAUUUACUGGGUGUAAAGGGAGCGCAGGCGGCACGCUAAGCCUGAUGUGAAAACCCGCGGCCCAACCGCGGGAGUGCAUUGGGAACUGGCGAGCUAGAGUACCGGAGGGGCAGGCGGAAUUCCUAGUGUAGCGGUGAAAUGCGUAGAUAUUAGGAGGAACACCAGUGGCGAAGGCGGCCUGCUGGACGGAGACUGACGCUGAGGCUCGAAAGCGUGGGGAGCAAACAGGAUUAGAUACCCCCGUA